rnacentral:rRNA from 1 species
UACGUAGGGUGCAAGCGUUGUCCGGAAUUAUUGGGCGUAAAGAGCUCGUAGGCGGUUUGUCGCGUCGAAUGUGAAAACCCGGGGCUCAACCCCGGGCCUGCAUUCGAUACGGGCAGACUAGAGUUCGGUAGGGGAGUCUGGAAUUCCUGGUGUAGCGGUGAAAUGCGCAGAUAUCAGGAGGAACACCGGUGGCGAAGGCGGCCAUCUGGACGACAACUGACGCUGAGGCGCGAAAGCGUGGGGAUCAAACAGG